rnacentral:piRNA from 1 species
UGCUUCUGAAGAUAGAGCCACGGU